UGACUGUGCCUUGAUAUGUCUUCUACUGCAGGCCAGGAGAGUUCCCAGACCUCUGACUUGUCUCUGUAGACUUGAAAAGCUGCCUCCUGGGAGCAAGUCCUAAGAUCUGACUUCUAAACAGUGAAAUCGCUUUGGGCAGCAGUGUCUGGGGUUUGUGCUUUUCCUGUGCACACAAUGGGAAGACGUAGAAGAGAUACCAAUCCAACCCAAUACACUAGGACUCUGUCCCUGCACUGGCUGUCAUCCCUUUCACUGCCAGCCUCCCUGGUCUAACAGACACUGGAGAACCUCUGCAUCCUGUCAGCUCCAUGCUACCCUGGAAUGCAGCUCCUCACUUCCACACUGAACAUAAGACUCUUAAUGUGAACCCCUUGACCUGAGCAUUUCACUGUCUGGUAAAUUAAGGGAUUGAGAAUACUCAGAGUGCUGUGGAGGAAAUAAAUUGUACCAUGGAGAACCUUCCA